GCCUAGUUAGCUUAGUUGGUAGUGCGUCUGCCUUGUAAGCGGUAGGCCACGGGUUCGAUUCCCGCCCGGGGCG
rnacentral:tRNA from 1 species